ACGGGGACCCGCACAAGCGGUGGAGCAUGUGGUUUAAUUCGAUGCAACGCGAAAAACCUUACCACUUCUUGACAUGGAGGCUAGAUCCUUCUUAACAGAAGGGCGCAGUUCGGCUGGGCCUCGCACAGGUGCUGCAUGCCUGUCGUCAGCUCGUGUCGUGAGAUGUUGGUUAAGUCCCGCAACGAGCGCAACCCUCAUCCUUAGUUACCAGCGGGUAAUGCCGGGCACUUUAAGGAAACUGCCAGUGAUAAA
rnacentral:rRNA from 1 species